ensembl:lncRNA
CCACACUCACACUCCACACUCCUGGAAAACCUAUCCCUAUUCUAAUUAACUUUGGAUUAAAAGUGUCUUUCACAAAUUAAUAGAUAGUUGGGAUGUGAUGGAAAGAUGGUUUUGGAACAGACUAUUUAUUUCAGCAGCUCAGAAUCCAAAUGUAAAAAAAUCUGAAUCACGAGAAAAAGAAAAGCCCAAAGUAUAUCAGAUAUUAAACACUGACAAGAAUGCAGGUAGAGACACUGAUAUCCAUUUGAACUCGAUUAACUAGCACCAGAACUAUGUUGCAAGUGCUCACAGGUGCUAUCAAGAUGCCCCUAAGGCAUGGGAAUAACAAUGCAUACAGUUGACUAUCCAUUGCAUCCAUGACACUAACCAUCUUGUCUCCCACCCUCGCCCCCUUCCUCCUCCCCCCCCCCUCUCUCUUCCCGGGUUCCAGGCGAGGACCUGGCGGUGUACGGCAGCAAAGCGGCCUACGCGUCCAGGAACCACGUGCCAGGGAGCUGCUCCACCACAGGCAGCUCCUCGUCCCGGGGCUCCUCUGGCUCCCGGGGGCCCCCCUCCUCCUCCUCCACCACCAGGAAGCACAGCGAGGGGGAGAGAGUAGCGUUGGGAGUGCCUCAGUAGGAGUGAGUGAUGAACGACAGAAAUCCAAUAGUUCAGAGCAACCGGCAGGUAAAAGACAUUCUCCAUAUAUACAAGAAGAAUUGCUAUUUUUUCGUUUGUGUCUGAGGUUCAUUACAGUACUUUAUACUAAGCUGUUGUGGCUCAUUAGUUUGUGAUUCAUUUGCACAAAAUAUUCUGCAGAAUGCAGGGGAUUAAAUCUUGGUAACUAGACGUUUCCCUGCUGGGGGAUCCCCGACUCAUCCGUUUAAAAAGUGCCCUGACUGGGGCUGUAUUUUGUGCACUGUAUUCCCCGAGCUGAAUGAUUUUCCAAGUCCGGCCCUGUUGACCUCAGGUGAACAUUAGGGUUGAACCCAAAGAUCCAAAGUCUACCGCUGGGCACCUUGAACAAUCUGCCAACCCCAAUACAGGCUCCUUAAUGACGAGUAUAAAGGGAUUCUGGCUACGUUGCUUACGAUAAAAGCACCUGCUUCAGGACUAGAGAGUAAAUAUAGUACAGAAUUUAUCAGAUGCUAAUAAAAUUGCUUGAGAUGGCCUGGUCAUUUCUGUCAAUAUGUGUUUUGUUUUGUCAUUACAAAAGAUACCAACAAAGACAAUUUUCUCUGUUUGUUUUCAGGACAUGAGAUAAGUUGUACCUUCAACGCACGCACGCACACACACACACACACACACACACACAAACAGACAGAGCUUUUCCCACCAUGGAAGCAAGUGGAAGAAAACGACGAGGGAAAAGAGUCUGAGCUUCUCUGCAGCGUUGUUUUUUUCCAUGGGGACCCAGCCCACUGGCUGUGAAAGAUCAACAGACUUUUCAUCCUAGUUUCAUCUGGUAUUACUCUGAUUAUUUAUGGCCUAAUCCGGAUUUGCUCCUUUAUUUGUAAAUAUUCAUCCAUGUACUGUUCAUUUGUGAGUUCUCGAUACAAGGGGAGGGGGGGAAAGACGUAUAUUGUAUUUAUAAGCAUCAAGAACACAAAUGUAAAAUAAUGGUUCCUUAUUAUUAUUAUUAUUAUUGUUACUAUGAAAGAAAUAUCAUGUCGUCUUGAAUGUGCCAACUGCUCUCUCUCUCUCUCUCUCUCUCUCUCUUGCUCUCCCCCCUUCUCCCUUUUUUGUUUUAGAUUAUUUUUAUUCAAAAUGUAUACGCUGAGAAAGAGAGCGGCCAGCGGCCCUCUCUCUGUUGUCAUGGCGAAGCAACAGAAAACCUGAAGCACAAAGUGUGUUUGUUUGUUGAACGGGAUUUAAGGGGGGCCGGGGUACAGGGCGAGCAGCACCAAUAGGGUGGGAGGGCUGGGAAGGGGGAGUGACCUGGGGGUGGGGAUGAGGGUAGGAAGGAGUAUUCGGAAAGUGUAUUUUUCGGUGCUUCUGGACGACCACCUCUGCCUGGACUCUUGUACACUGGGCGUCCCCCUACGCACACUACACUAUGAAUGUCGUCCCCCACUACGGUGGGGUUUUAUUUCAGUCUUCUUUGGUUUUAUUUACGGCCCGGGAAAUGAUUGUGUCGGAAGACGGACAGGCUUUAUAAAAGGUUUGAUUGUAAACUCCACCACCGCCCCCACCACCCAUGCUGCCCCCCCCCCUCCAUCCCUCCCUCCCUCGACCCCUGCCUCCCUAUGUUCAUUUUACGGAGUGUCUACUGCAAUCGCGCGAGGAAGUUUGCAUCUUCUCUAUCCCAAAAAAAAGAUGAGAAGAAAAGAAAAGCAAAGUUCUGUGGAAUAACUUUUUUGUACUCUUGUUGUUUUGUAAAGUCCAAUAAAAAUGCAUUUGUCAAACGACAUGGGUUGGUGCUCACACUUUGUCCUGAAAGGUGCAGUUGCGACGCACGUGAUAAUGAAUGAUGUUUUAUCCGCAGAAAUCCUAUCAUUGCUC